rnacentral:rRNA from 1 species
UACGUAGGGACCAAGCGUUGUUCGGAUUUACUGGGCGUAAAGGGCGCGUAGGCGGCUUAACAAGUCACUUGUGAAAUCUCCGGGCUUAACUCGGAACGGCCAAGUGAUACUGCUGUGCUAGAGUGCAGAAGGGGCAAUCGGAAUUCUUGGUGUAGCGGUGAAAUGCGUAGAUAUCAAGAGGAACACCUGAGGUGAAGACGGGUUGCUGGGCUGACACUGACGCUGAGGCGCGAAAGCCAGGGGAGCAAACGGG